rnacentral:tRNA from 2 species
GGUGGGGUAGCUCAGAUGGUUAGAGCGUGGGAUUCAUAACCCCAAGGUCGAGGGUUCGACUCCCUCCCCCACCACCA